rnacentral:lncRNA from 1 species
UGGGGCCAUGGCUAUGGAGUGAGGUGAGGCGAUAGAGGAGGAGGGAGAAUAGGAGGGUGAGGAUGAGAAGACUUGAGACUCUUUGGAAAGUGUUCUUGAUAGGGAGUCUCUCUUGGAGAGGAAGGUUGUGGAGGGUGGCCAUGAGUGGAGGAUAGGAUAAACAAGGAGGCUUCUGCUUUUGCCGUCUGAUUUAUAGAUGAUCAUAAGGUGCUGUUUCCUACCUAGAUUCCUGUUCUUCUAUAACCACAAAUUCAAAUGCCAAACUGGAGACGUCACGUGCAAUACCAUCACUUAGUAAAUUAUCUAGAAAUUAAUUAUUGAUAUAUAUAUAUAUAUAUAUAGAGAGAGAGAGAGAGAGAGAGAGUCAGAUUAAAAUUAGCUCAAUCAGAUCUAGGUUCAAGCCUGAUCAGGUCAAAAUUCUAUAAUAAGAAUCCUAUAUCAAUAAUUCGAACCAUUGAAUAUGAU